UCUUAUCAAGAGUGGCUGAGGGACCGGCCCUGCGACGCCACGGCAACCUGUUCACGCCCCGGUUUUCGGCGCGGGCAAGGUGCCAAUUCCGACGGGUAAACCGUAAAGAUGAG
rnacentral:ncRNA from 1 species